GGGGGAGGAGAAAAACAAGGUUUAUGGCAUUGGAUCCCAAGCAUCAAUUUUCUACCCUAACUCAUUGUAUGGAUCAUCUUCUAGUGCAUCCUAUCAUGCUCAGUAGGAGGUAAUAGAGGAAGAGAUUCAACAAUUAUAUUAGACUGUUGUAACGCUAAAGGAUUGUUUGGCUAUAAUGGAGGAGAGAGACCGACAAUGCAAGCUGAUGCUAGAAGAGAGAGAUCGACAAUGCGAGCUGAUGCUAGAAGAGAGAUACCGACAACGUGAGUAAACGCUAGAGGAGCGCAUGUAACAAAUGAUGCAAAACAUGAUGGCGCAAAUGAUUCAGGUGCGUUGCUUUUUGCUACGCGUAGGUUAUGGAGAGAUUGACAGAGAGCCCAGUAGACCACAGACUCGGUGAGAUCAUUCACAAUUCUGUAUAGUAUCCGUAUCACCUCACAGACUUCAGUGCAUUGGUAGGACACUA
rnacentral:misc_RNA from 1 species